GACGUAGGGCGCGAGCGUUUGCCGGAUUUAUUGGGCGUAAAGAGCUCGUAGGCGGUUUGUCGCGUCGUCCGUGAAAACUCACAGCUUAACUGUGAGCUUGCGGUCGAUACGGGCAGGCUAGAGUUCGGUAGGGGAGACUGGAAUUCCUGGUGUAGCGGUGAAAUGCGCAGAUAUCAGGGAGGAACACCGGUGGCGAAGGCGGGUCUCUGGGCCGAUACUGACGCUGAGGAGCGAAAGCGUGGGGAGCGAACAGG
rnacentral:rRNA from 1 species